GAGACCCACGCCAACAGUUGCCAGCUCGUCCUCCGGGAUGGGGGGGACACUGUUGGGACCGCCUCUGCUAAAGAGGAGGAAGGAAUGGGCAACGGUAGGUCAGCAUGCCCCGAAUUAUCCGGGCUACACGCGGGCUACAAUGGGUGGGACAAUGGGUAUCGACACCGAGAGGUGAAGGCAAUCUCCUAAACCUGCCCUUAGUUCGGAUUGUGGGCUGCAACUCGCCCACAUGAAGCUGGAAUCUGUAGUAAUCGCGGAUCAACAUUCCGCGGUGAAUAU
rnacentral:rRNA from 1 species